AUCCACCAAUCCCUGAGCUCAGAACCCACCAGUCCCUGAACUCAAAAACCUACCAAUCGUGGAACUCAAAAGCCCACCAAUCGCUGAGCUUGCAAGCUCAGGACUCGAAAGCCCACCAAUGGAAACCCCGCACUGGAAAACUCCACCCCCAAGAAACCCUAUAUAAACAUGUCUCCCACUCAGUUCUGCGCCUCAAGCCACACUCUUGUGUGGUUCCUCAGAGCCUUUGUAUGAGGUUUGGCUCCCGAUUAUCAGGAUGCCUUUCCCCUCAGAGUUGCAACAGUUGCAUUGAGGAAAACUUUCCCCUCAGAGGUGUAACAUUUGCAGACUCCUGAGACCGCAAGAGGCACCCCUGCCUGUCCUCGAGGCGACAAGUCCCAAGUGGCAGAGUUGUAGAUACAACAUGUCUACAAGCUAAUGGCUUCAGUUGUAGAGCCACAGGAACCACAUCCUCAACCACAGUACAUGUUCGCAAGGGGAUAUCAAGCUUCCUGUGAGAACACAGGCAGAAGGAAUGCUGGGAGACAAGCUUGUGAGAACAGAGCAGGAGACUGGGUUGGGGCUUCCAGAACUCAUGGAUACCGGGAGAUGAUGAAUAAUAGGUGGUUAAAGAGAAAAACCAACCAUAUUAAAUUUAAUAUGCAUAUAAUUUGUCUAUUAAAA